CCAAAAGUUGGAUUAAAGCAUGUGAUGGUGUAGGGUUUGCUUUGCGUUAUUGUUUUUAUGCAAUAUUGUUCAAUCAUUCAUUUUUAUUUAUGUGCUCGUUACUGCAAGUAUGUGCUAUGCAUAUCUACGUUGGAAGAUUGAUAUAAGUCACAAGCACAUGCUAUAAUCUGUAAAGGACAAUGGACUCCCAUAGAAUGUUUUGUGUUGCUAUUGGUCGAGGACAAACGUCUCAGCUAGGAUAAAGAAGCUGGAAUUGACAGACAAAAAUGGUUGGAAAAAACAUAAAGUCAGAAUGUUCACAUUUGCAGACAACUUUAAAAGUGCCCAAAAGUUCGCUAGAAGAGCCAUUGCCACUUCAAACAUUGAAUCAGAUGAUGAGUCAAUCAACGACAAGCCAC